AUGGUGUUCCACCGUGGUAUAAAAGGGAAUCAGGUGUAAGACCUGAGCAGUGCCCGCUACUGUAAUCUCCAUUAUGGGAAAUCCAGCAAAUGCCACUGUCUGCAAAGAUGGGAAGGCGGAUUUCUCGGAGAAAGCCAGGAAACCUGCCACUCGCC
rnacentral:ncRNA from 1 species